UUGUCUCGGGGCUGCCGAGGCGCCUUCGGAGGCUUCUCCCUGGGCUGGGGGACUUGGCUUCUUAAGGCACCCUGUGGCAGAGUAUCACCUGCUGAGCUCUUCAGCUCUUCGUACAAGUGAGUUGUGGGGUUGGGUUGGUUUUUUUUUUGUUGUUGUUGUUGUUUUCGACAGAAAACAGCUAUAUGGUCGCCUUCCCAGUCUGCCUGCUCAUGAAAAUGGAUGUGAAGAUAAAAUCUGGCUUUUUCUCUGAUGUCUGCGCCCCAGGGCAAGUGAUCCUCCUCGGCCCCAAGAAUCCGUCAGUUUAUGGUGGUGUUUCCAGUGGUGCCUUGAGGCAGCCUGAGUCUGGCCAGAGCAUGGAGACAGGCUGAGAGAAGACAAAGCAUAGGCUCCAAAGCAUUUUGUUCCAUGCAGUGUUUGCUGCUUAUCCCACUGGCCAGUGCAACUUUGUUUUUUUCCAUCAGUCUGUUUUUAUUUAUUCUAUUUUAAAUAAAAACCUUGUUGGGACCA